GGAAUUGAAUCUAUAAAAAAACAGUUCCACAUGGAGGCCACUGAUGUCACUGCAGUGACGCAUUUUCCACCUGAAGCUCUGACUGAAAUAAAAGUGAAAGUAAAUGUUUCACACUGACUGAAUGGACAUGGACAACUUACAGCUACAGCUACAUUUACCUUCUUUGUUCAAAUCUGGCGACAUUUGUGGAUUAUUAACGCACUCCCUACCUUCAUAUGGAUUUAUUCAUGUGGCUGAAGCACGAGCUACGCCGGAUUCCCCCAGUGAACACCAGAUGUCGCCAUUGGUCCUGGUGUUUGAAGAUAAAAGCUGAAUCGCCACGAACCAGUAGAUGGCGCCAGAGUCCAGGAUACAACACAACACAUGAACCAUGGCACUUCUCAUGGUGGUAAAUGCUCGGUUUGAGGGAAAAGGGAAGUGUUGUUGUGGUUUUGUUAUUUGCUCACAUUGAAAUUGGUCAUCUUGCACGAUCACAAACACAUGUACAUGUUGUUUUUAGAUAUAUAUGAAGAACCACAAUGGCACUGCAGAGCAAAGCGAAGCCAAGCAUCUGGGUAUAUAUAUAGUAUAUAAUAGUGGUACUGGCAUAACAGGAAGUGCGUUGUCUUAUCUGGGGCAGUGGUAUUUGCUGGUUAAACCCAAACAGGCACAGAUUCACAGAGCGACAGCAUCACCUGGCGAAUGUAGUGCACAGUUGACUGGUGACUGAUGGCUGCACUGGUUAUCAUUUAUGAUCAGUUGCUUUGAAGAGAGAGAGAGAUAACAACCGCGGGACAGUAAAAUAAAAAAAAUAGGCUGCCAUGGUUUCACAAAGAUGACAAACAGAUAGGAGAUAAAAGAGGCAAACAGUGUCUGAGGCAUCAGAGCUGUCUCGGCUGUCGUUAUUUGUUAUUUAAUAGUUGUUGCAUGUGGCCUUUUUGAAGGUUUUGGGAUUAAGGGCCUUAAUCUUAUACUUCAUUGCUACUUUUUUGUAUUCUGUGGUUUUAUAUCUGGAAAUCGUCUUGUCUCCGUCACUAUUUGCAUUAUUUGUCCCGCUAUCUUGACUGGGACUCCCUGGAAGAAGAGAUCUUGUAUGUCAAUGGGAGACUUCCUUAUAAAACAAAAGAAAAAAAGAAAAAAAAAAUAAUAAUACUUUGCAUAUAAGCAGUAAAACAUCCUAUUGUUUUCCUGUUUUAUUACCACUGAGGUCAUAAGGUGACCUUUGUGUAUCGCAGCUUUACUGUGAUGUUUCGUGCUUUCAGUAAAAUCAGUAAAUAGAAAUAAA